rnacentral:rRNA from 1 species
AUUCCCUUAGUAGCGGCGAGUGAAGCGGGAAGAGCCCAUCGCCGAAUCCCCCGGCCCAACCGGGCCCUGGGACCUGUGGCGUGAGGCGGCUUCGGGCGCUCGAGUAUCCGACGUCGAGGUCCUCCUGAUCGGGGCACCUUACCCAGAGCGGGUGUCAGGCCCGUCCGGGCGUCGGGUCUCGAGGGCCUGGAGCCACCGAGAGUCGGGUAGUUUUGGAAUGCUGCCCAAAGAGGGGUGGUGAACUCCAUCCAAGGCUAAAUACUGGCACGAGACCGAUAGCAGACAAGUAC